rnacentral:rRNA from 1 species
GACGAACGCUGGCGGCGUGCUUAACACAUGCAAGUCGAGCGGUAAGGCCCUUUCGGGGUACGACGAGCGGCGAACGGGUGAGUAACACGUGGGUGACCUGCCCUUAGCUCUGGGAUAAGCCUGGGAAACUGGGUCUAAUACCGGAUAUGACUCCAUGACGCAUGUUGUGGGGUGGAAAGCCUUGUGCGGCUAGGGAUGGGCCUGCGGCCUAUCAGCUUGUUGGCGGGGUGAGGCCUACCAAGGCGACGACGGGUAGCCGGCCUGAGAGGGCGACCGGCCACACUGGGACGUGAGACACGGCCCAGACUCCUACGGGAGGGCAGCAGUGGGGAAUCUUGCGCAAUGGGCGAAAGCCUGACGCAGCGACGCCGCGUGGGGAUGACGGCCUCGG